AUCCUUUUGUAGUUCAUAAGCAUGAUGAUUGGGUGUUCGUGAAUUUGCAUGACAUGUGCCUCCCUCAAACCUUACUGUGACAUCGGCACAUUACCCAUCUGACC